rnacentral:lncRNA from 1 species
AGUAGUAUAAUUACAUGAUUAACUUGUUCUAUGACAUGAUCUGUAUCUAGGACCACACCUGCUCCAAUAGGUUGUUUGUUUAUUCUUUGAUUCAAUUCAUUCUUUUAGUCUCUUUUUAUUCCUUAGCCCAUAUGCCAUGCCCAGAUUGUGAUGGAUCACUAUUCUACAUAUAAAUGUUUAUCACCUGCUAUCACCUUUGAUUCCAUUAUUGCUAUCAUAAUUACUUUGAUCUAUGCUUAUCUUAGAAUCCUUAACAUAUUAAGCCUUCCUUGGAGCGAACCUA